rnacentral:lncRNA from 1 species
UUAGGACGCUCUAUAAUCAAGAUGCAAGUGGAAUACAUUAGUUCGACCCUCAGCUUUUCCGUGCCAUGAUCGAGAUUUCUUUCCGGUUUUUAGCCAUCAAAUUUCUACCACCUUCUUCUCAUUUCACAUCUCUCUAUUCUCCUUGGUAAGAGAGAGGUGCCAAUGGCCAAACCCUAGCUAGGCCAGUCAUCACUUCCACUUGCUGUUCAAGCAGUGAGUGUUGAUUAAAUAAUCAUGGGCUACACGUCGUUUCCUACUAAUCUGUUAAUCUGAUUGAUACGACGAUCCACGAUAUCUCUUCAAGCUUCUCAAGAAUCAAUCAGGGAGCUCAGCUCAUGAACUACCAGCACACAGGACACUAGGAAGCAGGAAGCUCGUGCUCAGCGUCUGCAUCGCCCGAGCGAUCUCUUAGCGGACCAAGACGCUUCAGGUGGAUACAAAAAUGUAUAAUUAGUUUUCUACUCUCUGCUUUAGUACGGCAACAUUUUUAUUUUUCUCCCCGGAGUCUUUUUGCAGAUCGAAACACCCAAUCAUCAACAGGAGCGGUCUCCAGACUCAAAAUCCCAAAAUGGCUGUUUCCCAUCACUAAGUGGCCACUUGUCAGCAUCACAUGCGCAUGCGUGGGAGCCAACUCUCUUAAAAUAAUUCGAAGGUAGUGACCUUCUGUUUCCAAGAGAAUUUUCCUUCCUUGGUCCACUGAAUUUAUUUUAUAUAUAUAUAUCUAUAUAUGCUGUAUUGUGUGUACAUUUAGG